GGGCCUAUAGUCUAAUGGUAGGAUAGAAGACUCCAAAUCUUUUGGUCAGGGUUCAAUUCCCUGUGGGCUCA
rfam:Pseudocohnilembus persalinus scaffold1289, whole genome shotgun sequence.